GAUGAACGCUAGCGGCAGGCCUAACACAUGCAAGUCGAGGGGGAAGUUACUUUCGGGUGACUGAGACCGGCGUACGGGUGCGUAACGCGUAUACAAUCUGCCUUUCACUGGGGGAUAGCCCGAAGAAAUUUGGAUUAAUACCCCAUAGUAUAUAGGGACGGCAUCGUUUUUAUAUUAAAGCUUAGGUGGUGAAAGAUGAGUAUGCGUUCUAUUAGCUAGUUGGAGAGGUAACGGCUCCCCAAGGCGAUGAUAGAUAGGGGUUCUGAGAGGGAUGUCCCCCACACUGGUACUGAGAUACGGACCAGACUCCUACGGGAGGCAGCAGUGAGGAAUAUUGGACAAUGGUCGGAAGACUGAUCCAGCCAUGCCGCGUGCAGGAUGAAGGUCUUAUGGAUUGUAAACUGCUUUUGUAAGGGAAGAAUAAGGGCUACGCGUAGUUUGAUGACGGUACCUAACGAAUAAGCAUCGGCUAACUCCGUG
rnacentral:rRNA from 1 species